rnacentral:lncRNA from 1 species
UAAAAGAAAAUAUGAAGAAGAAAAGAAAAGGACUAUGGAAAGAAGAAAAAUAGCAUAAGAAGAAGAGAAGAAAGAUAUGAAAAGGAAGAACAAACCUAAAAUAUUUGUUUAAAAUACGGUGAGUUUCAUGAAUUUUUUUUAUUUUGUUACCCCGUAAAUAUUUCGUUGAUUUGUUAUAUUUUUAUAGUAAAAUGUAUAGAUUUAGGUAUGUUGUAUUAAAAAGUAUCCGAGUAGAAGAAGAAAGCAUAUACUCGAAAAGAGUUAAAUCUUCCAAACAAGUUCUUAUUUCUUUCUCUCAAAUAUUCUAAAACAUUGAUAUGUGAAAGAGAAAAAAGUGUGUUUAAAACAUUAUACAUAACCGUUUUGCUAGUAUGCAAAAACAGUUUGUGUAUUAUUUAUAUAAUCUUUUUGAUGCUAUUACAUGUCUGGUAUUUCAUUUUAUAUAUGGGUAAUUAUUAAACAUAAACUUGUAGCCAGAUUGCCUCAAAAUACAAAAUGUAGUUUGAGUUGAGAAAAGAGAAUUUUAUGCACGGUCCAAAGUUGGAUUUGUGCAGCCAAGUGAAAACUUUGCUCGAACAAUACAACCUUUGAUCAGCAUCCCACGUUUUUCAUAGUUUGAGUAUUCCGUUACGCUGAACUUAACUAGGCCGGUACUGUUACAUCCAUCGUCAUUGAGAGUGAACUCGCCUACUGUGAGUUCAAAGAAAAUGCCUAUCGGCUUCCUCGCGAGGCUUACUUGGCUCUGUCUCGUUGACCCAUCUGGUGUGGUGAUUGUAACGUUCAAAGGAGUCUGCCAUCCGCCGGUAUUCUCAGUGAGCAAUACCAAUAAUGAUAACACGUUUAAGACUUUUGGUGUCACCAAUGGUGCGGAAAAUGCUCCACGUAUGUCAAGCUUUUGUAUUGCAAUCAGUUGAGGGGCAUCCACAGAAGUACUGAACGUUUUGUUUUUAUUAACAUAUAUAUAUAUAUAUAUAGAUAGAUAACAAUAUUAUUAAAUUGAAUUUCGGUUCUAGAAAUAAUUAACAAAGAAAAAAACAUACAUAUGGUCCGUGAUGUAGAUCCAUUUCCAGUAUCGGGGAUCAUUAACCCCGAAAAUAGUGAGAAUUUUUGGUAAUAUGAAGAGUCGAUUAGUGUUUGUUUCGAGAUUAAUUCUGAAUUUCUGAAAGCAUUCAACAAAAUUAAUAAUCAAAACUCAAUUAUAUAUACAUACAUAUAUAUAUUUAUUAGCAUAUUAGAUUAUAGAAUAAAUCAAUAUAUUAAAUUUAAGCAGACACUUACGAUAGUUCCAUUGCAGAGGGAGAUGCCACGUUGAGAUAGUUGAUUGCAAAGAGGAAGGAAGGUUGGCCACUCGACUCCAGCUUGGUCGUCUGCGAGGGCUAAAAUUGUUUCUAAGCAAUGGUCAUACUCAAGUUUUUUUACCAAAUGCUGUUUUGCUUCCGCUUCCGUAGUCAUUUCAACCCUCAAUUAAUUACCUUUGAUAAAUCAACUAUAUAUAUAUAUAAUGUAUGUAUGUAUAUCUAUAUUUUGAUGUGAAUAAAGUUGGGAAUGGAAAUGGGAUAUAUAUAGCCUUCUUCUUUGGUAUACUAUAUUUGGAAGUCUCACAUUAAAAUUACUCCUAUCCAUAUCUUUUCUACUUUUCUUUACGUAAAUUACAAAAGUACCCAUUGCGUGUCUAUUGGUAUUUGUAAUUUCACUUCUAGUUUAUGAAUAUUAUUGGAUCAUCAAACUUAAAUACUUGUAAGUUUGAGGGCUUAAUUGAUUUUUUAUUGUUUAGUCAGAUCCAAUUUCUACAACUGUUGUAAAUUUUAGUAUGUAAUAAUGAGAAUUAUCUUACUAUACUUCGAUGAUGGCUUUGGAAAUUUAUUCUUUAUUUCUAAUAUGUUAUCUUACAAACGUAUGUUAUUUGUAAGUUAAUCUAUGCUAAUUUGUUUCAAGGAAUUUGAUGUCCUUUUGUAACUAAUUGAGUUUGCAAUUUACCCUUGCAUUUGUUUUAGAACAAAAGAGAUGAUAUGGAAAUUUAUGUUGAUAAGUAGAUAUUAAACUAAUAUAAUUUAUUAUAUUCUCGUUCAUAAUAUUCUUAGUGGAUAAUAAUUGGUUGAUAAAUUAGAAUAUGUACUUAGGUAUUUUCACUAUUAAGAUUAUUUAAAAUUAAUCCCAAAUACUUAUUUUUUUAAAGUUAAAUUUCAUAUAUGGAAUGAAAUGACAAAAUAUUUAUUAUUCCUAAAACAAUUUAAGAAAAAUCUAUUAAGCUGAUUAUUUUUUAAAAAAUUUCAUAUUUGUCCUCGCUGGUUUAUUACGAUUUUUCAAUUAUGAUUCUUCCUCCUCUUUUCGUUUUUUUUUUCUACAUCAUUCUCUAUUCUCUAUUCUCUACAUCAUUCAAGAGUAUUUUUUUUCUUUUUAUCGUCUUUCUUCUCAUCUUCUACAAUUUUUUUUCUUCUUUCCAUCGUCAUUUUCUGUUCUUCUGCAAUUUGCCUUUUUUUUUAAACAGUUAUUUAAUUCACAAGAUUGUGUACCAAAUAUACCAUAUCUUUUUUUUAAAAAAAAAUUCAAGUUGUUAUUUGGUUGUGUAGAUAUGUGACAAAUAUAAAAGUUGAUGAAAAAAAAUAGUUGGGAUAUUGAAUAGUCAAAUCUAAUCGAUCGUGUAUAACCAAAUUUAAAUAUCAAAGAAUCUUUAAACAAAUUGUUUAGAUUUGGCUCUCAAAUUUAAACAAUCGUGUACAAAAAUAGGCCAAUUUAAAUUAUCCUCUACCAAAAAAUCUUUAAAAAAUUUGUUUAAAUUUGGAUGCCAAAAUUUAAACUAAGAAUCAUUAAAAAAAAUUAUUUAGAUUUGGAUGCCCAAAUUUUAACGUAAAACAAAUAGUCAAAUUUAAAUGAUUAUGUACCUAGAAUCUUAAAAAAAAAAAUUGUUUAGAUUUUACUGUCCAUAUUUAGACGUUCAAAUCUAAACUAUCAUGUAUAAAAAAAAUAUUAAAAAAUCGUUCCGAUUUUGAUUUGAUUGUUUAGAUUUGAAAAGCACGAUCAAUUCCUACCCAAUCGCUUUCCAAAUACAAAAUGAUGUUUUUCAAAUAUAUUACGCGCGUCGAAUGCCAAUUAAUUGGGGCAGUUUUGAAAUUUUAUAUUGUAGGCCUUUAGACUAUAUAAUGUA